GGAUGUGAGGGCGAUCUGGCUGCAACAUCUGUUACCCCAUUGAUCGCCAAGGUUGAUUCGGCUGAUUUGGCUGGCUAGGCAGGUGUCCCCUUCCUCCCUCACCGCUCCAUGUGCGUCCCUCCCGAAGCUGCGCGCUUGGUCGAAGAGGACGACCUUCCCCGAACAGAGGUGGACCGGUGUUCGGUCAAGGGUAUACGCGUAGCUGCGCUCCCCUGCUAGAACCUCCAAACAAGCUUUCAAGGUCCAAUAAUGCACUUUGGUAAAAAGACUAAGAAAACUUUCAGUGUGAGCAAAAAGGUUU
rnacentral:snRNA from 1 species